GGCGAGAAUACCCGGCGAAUUUAAGCAUAUUACUAACCGGAGGAAAAGAAACCAACAGGGACGUCCUCAGUAGCGGCGAGCGAAGCGGACGAUGCCCAAACCGAACCGCGGUUCCCGAGGGGGCCGCGGAGUGUGGAGAGGAUGAGCUCGCGAGGGGGCGGGACGGGUUCCAAUCCGUCUGGAAGGGCGGAGGCACGGAGGGCGAUUCCCCGUACGUGCUCGGUCCGUCCCCGACGAGCGAACGCAUCGGAGAGUCGGGCCGCUUGAGAGUGCAGCCCGAAUGGGGUGAUAGGUCUCAUCCAAGGCUAAGUACGUGGGAGACGCCGAUAGCGAACAAGUACGGCGACGGAAAGGUGAAAAGAACCUCGAAAGGGGGUCAAAAGCGCUCGAAAUCGUAGAGGGGGAAGCGGACCUGACCGACGAGACCUCGUCGUCGCUCGCGCUCGACCCACGCUUCGUCGCGGAGUU
rnacentral:rRNA from 1 species